AUUGAACGCUGGCGGCAGGCCUAACACAUGCAAGUCGAACGGUAACAGGAAACAGCUUGCUGUUUCGCUGACGAGUGGCGGACGGGUGAGUAAUGUCUGGGAAACUGCCUGAUGGAGGGGGAUAACUACUGGAAACGGUAGCUAAUACCGCAUAACGUCGCAAGACCAAAGAGGGGGACCCUCGGGCCUCUUGCCAUCGGAUGUGCCCAGAUGGGAUUAGCUUGUUGGUGGGGUAACGGCUCACCAAGGCGACGAUCCCUAGCUGGUCUGAGAGGAUGACCAGCCACACUGGAACUGAGACACGGUCCAGACUCCUACGGGAGGCAGCAGUGGGGAAUAUUGCACAAUGGGCGCAAGCCUGAUGCAGCCAUGCCGCGUGUAUGAAGAAGGCCUUCGGGUUGUAAAGUACUUUCAGCGGGGAGGAAGGGAGUAAAGUUAAGACCUGUGCUCAUUGACGUUACCCGCAGAAGAAGCACCGGCUAACUCCGU
rnacentral:rRNA from 1 species